GACGAACGCUGGCGGCGUGCCUAAUACAUGCAAGUAGAACGCUGAAGGAGGAGCUUGCUUCUCUGGAUGAGUUGCGAACGGGUGAGUAACGCGUAGGUAACCUGCCUGGUAGCGGGGGAUAACUAUUGGAAACGUUAGCUAAUACCGCAUAAGAGUAGAUGUCGCAUGACAUUUGCUUAAAAGGUGCAAUUGCAUCACUACCAGAUGGACCUGCGUUGUAUUAGCUAGUUGGUGAGGUAACGGCUCACCAAGGCAACGAUACAUAGCCGACCUGAGAGGGUGAUCGGCCACACUGGGACUGAGACACGGCCCAGACUCCUACGGGAGGCAGCAGUAGGGAAUCUUCGGCAAUGGACGGAAGUCUGACCGAGCAACGCCGCGUGAGUGAAGAAGGUUUUCGGAUCGUAAAGCUCUGUUGUAAGAGAAGAACGAGUGUGAGAGUGGAAAGUUCACACUGUGACGGUAUCUUACCAGAAAGGGACGGCUAACUACGUG
rnacentral:rRNA from 1 species